UACGUAGGGUGCGAGCGUUAAUCGGAAUUACUGGGCGUAAAGCGUGCGCAGGCGGUUUGUUGUGUCUGAUGUGAAAGCCCCGGGCUUAACCUGGGAAUGGCAUUGGAAACUGGCAAGCUGGAGUGUGGCAGAGGGGGGUGGAAUUCCGCGUGUAGCAGUGAAAUGCGUAGAGAUGCGGAGGAACACCGAUGGCGAAGGCAGCCCCCUGGGCCAACACUGACGCUCAGGCACGAAAGCGUGGGGAGCGAACAGG
rnacentral:rRNA from 1 species